rnacentral:rRNA from 1 species
UACGUAGGGUGCAAGCGUUGUCCGGAAUUAUUGGGCGUAAAGGGCUCGUAGGCGGUCCGUCACGUCGGGAGUGAAAACUUGGGGCUUAACCCCCAAGCCUGCUUCCGAUACGGGCGGACUAGAGGUAGGGCAGGGGAGAACGGAAUUCCUGGUGUAGCGGUGAAAUGCGCAGAUAUCAGGAGGGAACACCCGGGUGGCGAAGGCGGUUCUCUGGGCCUUACCUGACGCUGAGGAGCGAAAGCCGUGGGGGAGCAAACAGG